AUUGAACGCUGGCGGCAGGCCUAACACAUGCAAGUCGAACGCGUGGCGGACGGGUGAGUAAUGUCUGGGAAACUGCCUGAUGGAGGGGGAUAACUCCUGGAACCGGUAGCUAAUACAGCAUACCAUCGGAUGUGCCCAGAUGGAAUUAGCUAGUAGGUGGGUUAAAGGCUCACCUAGGCGACGAUCCCUAGCUGGUCUGAGAGGAUGACCAGCCACACUGGAACUGAGACACGGUCCAGACUCCUACGGUAGGCAGCAGUGGGGAAUAUUUCACAAGGGGCGCAAGCCUGAUGUAGCCAUGCCGCGUGUAUGAAGAAGGCCUUCGGGUUGUAAAGUACGUUCAGCGGGGAGGCGUUACCCGCAGAAGAAGCACCGGCUAACUCCGUGCCAGCAGCCGCGGUAAUUC
rnacentral:rRNA from 1 species